UCGAGCGGACAGAUGGGAGCUUGCUCCCUGAUGUUAGCGGCGGACGGGUGAGUAACACGUGGGUAACCUGCCUGUAAGACUGGGAUAACUCCGGGAAACCGGGGCUAAUACCGGAUGGUUGUUUGAACCGCAUGGUUCAGACAUAAAAGGUGGCUUCGGCUAUACUUACAGAUGGACCCGCGGCGCAUUAGCUAGUUGGUGAGGUAACGGCUCACCAAGGCAACGAUGCGUAGCCGACCUGAGAGGGUGAUCGGCCACACUGGGACUGAGACACGGCCCAGACUCCUACGGGAGGCAGCAGUAGGGAAUCUUCCGCAAUGGACGAAAGUCUGACGGAGCAACGCCGCGUGAGUGAUGAAGGUUUUCGGAUCGUAAAGCUCUGUUGUUAGGGAAGAACAAGUGCCGUUCAAAUAGGGCGGCACCUUGACGGUACCUAACCAGAAAGCCACGGCUAACUACGUGCCAGCAGCCGCGGUAAUACGUAGGUGGCAAGCGUUGUCCGGAAUUAUUGGGCGUAAAGGGCUCGCAGGCGGUUUCUUAAGUCUGAUGUGAAAGCCCCCGGCUCAACCGGGGAGGGUCAUUGGAAACUGGGGAACUUGAGUGCAGAAGAGGAGAGUGGAAUUCCACGUGUAGCGGUGAAAUGCGUAGAGAUGUGGAGGAACACCAGUGGCGAAGGCGACUCUCUGGUCUGUAACUGACGCUGACGAGCGAAAGCGUGGGGAGCGAACAGGAUUAGAUAC
rnacentral:rRNA from 1 species